rnacentral:rRNA from 1 species
GGUAAUUAAACCUUAUAGGCGUAAUGAAAGUAAAAGAAAUUUUCUUUCUAAAGGAGGAUAAGUGGUUAGUUGUAAACAACGCCACUUCGCACUCCUGGGGCGCUUUUAACUCAUUUGAGUAGAGGCGCACCUAUAGCGUACACAAUAAUACCCGAAAGAUGGUGAACUAUGCCUGGCCAGGACGAAGCCAGGGGAAACCCUGGUGGAGGUCCGAAGCGAUUCUGACGUGCAAAUCGAUCGUCGGAGCUGGGUAUAGGGGCGAAAGACCAAUCGAACCAUUUAGUAGCUGGUUCCCUCUGAAGUUUCCCUCAGGAUAGCUAACGCUCCCGUAUAAAGACGAGUCUCAUCCGGUAGAGCGAAUGAUUAGAGGUAUUGGGGUCGAAACGGCCUCAACCUAUUCUCAAACUCCAAAUAGAUGAGAACCCCGGCUUGCUUAACAAUGAAGCCGUGGGAGUUUUUAAAACGGAUCAGAGUGUUAAG